rnacentral:lncRNA from 1 species
AUUCAACUUCUUCUUGGAUACCACUUUGGACGUGAUGCUUGACAUAAUUACAACCUCUUUGAGUAGAGAAGAUGGGCAAACAUUGGGAAGGGUCUCUCAUAUCAUACAAAUGUUACAACUAAGAGAUGCUAACUCUUCAUAAAUUGAAGAGAAGUACAAAUCUAACAUAAAUUUGAAGGUAAAGUACAUCAAGAACUUGAAGAAUCAAGACUCGGAAUUAAAGAUCAAGAACAAAAAAUUCUCUCAUAUUUUUUGUGUUCAUAUACAUUUCAGGUGAUGAUUUUCUAUUAAUCUUUGUUUUCACAUUCAUAAUUUAGUAUAAAUGAUCUAAUCUGUAGCGUAGACAACAGGGUUUUGAGAAAAAUCUGAAACCUAUCAAAUUCUCUCCCAUUAAUUCUCUCUUCAACGAUUUUUCUUGUUUACGUUUGUACAUAUAUGUUAAAGAAAUGAAGUUGUAAUGGUAUUCUUGAUUACAUAUAUUUUCCAUAAUAUAUUUAAUGGAGACUGACUUCUUUAAAUUCUUAUUAGAUUUUUGAUAUCAAAACCCUCAAAUUUUGUAAUUUUUCAGGCUUUGGGUAUCUCAAGAAUAUGGUAGAGGUUAUGGUGGAUGACUUGCCUUAUAUAAUACUCCAUUUGGAUUCCCCUUUAAAUUCCAAGAUUUGUAUUUAACUUUGAUGGCGGAGAGAAANGAU